rnacentral:rRNA from 1 species
AGACGUCUACAUUAGAUACCCCCGUAGUCCCAGCCGUAAACUAUGCGCGUUAGGUGUAUCGGUGACCACGAGUUACCGAGGUGCCGAAGGGAAACCGUGAAACGUGCCGCCUGGGAAGUACGGUCGCAAGGCUGAAACUUAAAGGAAUUGGCGGGGGAGCACCACAACAGGUGGAGCCUGCGGUUUAAUUGGACUCAACGCCGGGAAGCUCACCGGAUAGGACAGCAGAAUGAUUGCCGGGCUGAAGACUCUGCAUGACUAGCUG